rnacentral:lncRNA from 1 species
AAUUACUGACCGGCCGCCGCCCGCGUGCUGGUCGACCGUCGGGAAAGACUAGACCGGUGCGUGGGUCUUUGCAGGCUGGCAGCAAGAGCAUGUGAGCUACGCUUAUAUGUCCUCUACGUGACACGUAUCAUCCGUGUAGACUAAACCAGGCCAGGACCCUGUACAAGUCCCGGUCCCGGUUCCGGUCCGGACAACAACACUGCACAGUUGUCGUAGAUUUCAUUGGAGUUUGAAGACGAAAAUUUUAUUGUCCAUGUUGGUCCGAAGACUUGCGCAUUGAGUACUACGGCCUUGUUCUGGAAUGAUGAUGUGUCCUGGUUUUGACCUCGGAAUAUCACACUAGAUUAGAUUUUUUUUUUCUUUUGGCGGAAACCAAUUGACUCGAGGGAUAAAACGAAAAGUGAUGCUAAUUUGACGGGUUAACAUGAUAAAACCAUGAUAUGAUGGCCCUGAUACCGCUUUUGGAAUGGGCAAGGACCAUUGGUGUCGAGCUUCAACAGUUAGGGGAUGUAAAAUAUAUGAACAAAAAGUCGAUGAUUACUUUCCAACAAAUUAAGGAACCAAAUACAGAGUAUAUACUUUUCUCUUUGGUUUCCGGACACUGUGUGUUGAAGGCGAAACACUACCCGAAGGGUUCUUUAACGGACACAUCUUUUACUGGUACUGAUCCUCUACGUGGCAAGCAAUCGAGCAUGGAUUAGGGCUACUCAAGGCUGGAAUCAUCUACUAGCGAAUUAGCACGGGUAAGGAGGUUCACAUUCACACAUGGAGAGAUCCCUCGCGGACUUGAGUCCACGCCCUGCAGU